AAAUUGAAGAGUUUGAUCAUGGCUCAGAUUGAACGCUGGCGGCAGGCCUAACACAUGCAAGUCGAACGGUAACAGGAAGCAGCUUGCUGCUUCGCUGACGAGUGGCGGACGGGUGAGUAAUGUCUGGGAAACUGCCUGAUGGAGGGGGAUAACUACUGGAAACGGUGGCUAAUACCGCAUAACGUCGCAAGACCAAAGAGGGGGACCUUCGGGCCUCUUGCCAUCAGAUGUGCCCAGAUGGGAUUAGCUAGUUGGUGAGGUAACGGCUCAGCAAGGCGACGAUCCCUAGCUGGUCUGAGAGGAUGACCAGCCACACUGGAACUGAGACACGGUCCAGACUCCUACGGGAGGCAGCAGUGGGGAAUAUUGCACAAUGGGCGCAAGCCUGAUGCAGCCAUGCCGCGUGUAUGAAGAAGGCCUUCGGGUUGUAAAGUACUUUCAGCGGGGAGGAAGGUGUUGUGGUUAAUAACC
rnacentral:rRNA from 1 species